GCAGUCGUACGCUUCUUUUUCCACCGGAGCUUGCUCCACCGGAAAAGAAGAGUGGCGAACGGGUGAGUAACACGUGGGUAACCUGCCCAUCAGAAGGGGAUAACACUUGGAAACAGGUGCUAAUACCGUAUAACAAUCGAAACCGCAUGGUUUUGAUUUGAAAGGCGCUUUCGGGUGUCGCUGAUGGAUGGACCCGCGGUGCAUUAGCUAGUUGGUGAGGUAACGGCUCACCAAGGCCACGAUGCAUAGCCGACCUGAGAGGGUGAUCGGCCACAUUGGGACUGAGACACGGCCCAAACUCCUACGGGAGGCAGCAGUAGGGAAUCUUCGGCAAUGGACGAAAGUCUGACCGAGCAACGCCGCGUGAGUGAAGAAGGUUUUCGGAUCGUAAAACUCUGUUGUUAGAGAAGAACAAGGAUGAGAGUAACUGUUCAUCCCUUGACGGUAUCUAACCAGAAAGCCACGGCUAACUACGUGCCAGCAGCCGCGGUAAUACGUAGGUGGCAAGCGUUGUCCGGAUUUAUUGGGCGUAAAGCGAGCGCAGGCGGUUUCUUAAGUCUGAUGUGAAAGCCCCCGGCUCAACCGGGGAGGGUCAUUGGAAACUGGGAGACUUGAGUGCAGAAGAGGAGAGUGGAAUUCCAUGUGUAGCGGUGAAAUGCGUAGAUAUAUGGAGGAACACCAGUGGCGAAGGCGGCUCUCUGGUCUGUAACUGACGCUGAGGCUCGAAAGCGUGGGAGCAAACAGGAUUAGAUACCCUGGUAGUCCACGCCGUAAACGAUGAGUGCUAAGUGUUGGAGGGUUUCCGCCCUUCAGUGCUGCAGCUAACGCAUU
rnacentral:rRNA from 1 species